rnacentral:rRNA from 1 species
AUGUGUGACAAAUGUGAACGCUGGAAGCAUCAAAUUUGUGCCCUUUUUAAUUUCAAAAGGGGUGAUUCUAAAGAAGCAAAAUGUACUUGCCCUAAAGUGUUGUUCUUGGGGCUAAAGAUCUGCCAAGGGCCGUGCUUAGCAAUCAUAUACAAGAACAACUCUUUAAACCGUUCAGGGAAUAUAGACACUAACAGGCCAUUCAUGAUGGGAAAAGCUUUGAUGAGGUUAGUGUUGCCUCAUCAAAUUCACAGAAUCUUACUUCUUUCCUGA